CCUACGGGACGCAGCAGUCGGGAAUAUUGCGCAAUGGAGGAAACUCUGACGCAGUGACGCCGCGUAUAGGACGAAGGUCUUCGGAUUGUAAACUAUUGUCGUUAGGGAAGAGAAAGGACAGUACCUAAGGAGGAAGCUCCGGCUAACUACGUGCCAGCAGCCGCGGUAAUACGUAGGGGGCAAGCGUUAUCCGGAAUUAUUGGGCGUAAAGAGUGCGUAGGUGGUUACUUAAGCGCGGGGUUUAAGGCAAUGGCUCAACCAUUGUUCGCCCUGCGAACUGGGUUACUUGAGUGCAGGAGAGGAAA
rnacentral:rRNA from 1 species